rnacentral:lncRNA from 1 species
CAGAAAUGUACACGGGGCUGUCACUGGCUGAGUAACUGAAGGUUGCCCCAGUUGCUGUCCUUGUUGCUGAGACCGGAGGGCAGAGUCUGGACAUUGAUCCUGUUUCCACACUCUUCUGGAAGAAGCAAACAUCUUCGAUUAGAGAUGAACACCAGAGUAAGAAGAAAUGUCUCCACACACCAACUCAAAGAAGCGGCAUGGCUCUAAGCACACAUAAAGACGAAUUGCUGAGCUGUACUGGAAGACAGAACAUUUUUCAGUUGUGACCACCUGUCAUUAAAUUUUGCUCUAUAAUUAUUCCAUUAGAGUGGAAGCAAUUAAUUAGGAGGCAUUGCUAUUAGUAGAAGGAAACUGUCAAAAUUGUUUCUCUUGGUGCCAGUUCUGACCAUCUGCAGGACAUCUAGAUGUUUAUUACUGCUAAUGACUUUGGAAAUGGAAAUUCAUAUGCAGAUGGCUCUCAGAGGACUUCCUGCCAAGCACAGAAAAAGCGACGUGUGGCUUUUCCAGGGCUGAGCACACAAGUGCCCCAACCCCACAGUGUAGCUGGCCACUUCCUGCCUCUGACAGACACGGGGGGUUGGGAAGGGGCUUGGAGCAGAACUAGCCUUGAAGGAAACAGAGUUUCCACAUCUUAAAAACAACCCUUUUUUGGUUGGGCAUGGUGGAACUCAGGACUCUCAGGCAGGUGGAUCUCUGUGAGUCCCAGGCAGGAUAAUGCCACAUAGUGAGAUCCUGUCUCAACACCACCACCACGCUUUUCUGUAAGUCUUGCUCUGGGCUUUCUUUGGUACCUGGAAGUGAUGGCUUUAGCAUGCACUGCCUAAUGACCCCUAAAGUGUGAGGGUGACAACCCAAACAGGUGUCCAGAUGAACACAACCUUCAGCACCCCUGCCAUCGAAGCUCUCACCCCUGUGGUUUCCUAGUGUGCAGGCCCCUCUCAGUCACCCUGAGAAGAGGGAGAGUGAAGAGUCUCAUGAAGUUUACAGCUCUUAGUGGAAUGUAACACAUUUCUCCUCACCAGCUGGGCUGAAUGAUAGCCAGGGGCAGGCCAAAGCUUCAACUCAGGCGCCAUUUGUUCACAGGGUGACUGAAUCGGCCCUAGACUUUGAUGUUGGCUACCUGUGGGGUGUACCCCACCCCAUCUGCCAGGCCAUAGUCCCUGCAGUGACCCUGACGGCUCACAUUCACGAAGUUAUGUUAUUAUUGCAUGUUGUGAACGUGUGGCGACUAUGCCCAUGAUGAACACUGCCAAUUUGAACAUAAGCAUUUUGAGCCUUUUCUAACAUGAAGAGUUUUGUCUAUUUUUUUUUCUAAUCUUGAAAUAGUAACACCUUUCUACUUUAUAUGUUGUAGAGAUGAAAAGUAUUAAAGUUAGGAAAACCCCACUAGGAAAAUGUGCUGGCCCAAAACACAAGCCCAGUCAUGUCACCAAAAAAGUAGAUUGCUUCAUCUUUAAAACAACAACAAAAAGCUCCAAUUAAGGACCAACUGUACAAAAGAGCACAUAAGCAAACUGUGACACAGCAGUAGCAGCAGGUGGCCUGUGGACUUUCUUCCACACGGGCAAGGUGCCAAGGAAGCUCUGUCCUUGCACACACACUGCCCCUAGCUGCUUCUAGACUCACCUCUAGCCAUUGAGUCUGACAUCAAUCCAGCACAAGGCCACUCAAACUGGCCUUUUUGUCUCAGGUCCCUAGAACUUUUUCUAACCCAACCUUCACAAUCAGGACUGUGAUUCUGUUUCUAUUAUAAGCCCCCCCCCCCCCCCCCCGCCAAUAAAGUUGCAAUGUCCUUCAAAGUUCCAAAUCUCAAACCAGGGCCCAAUGUCUAUGUAGUUUUUUGGGCCUUAACUAAUGUGGCCAGUGCCACAUUUCAAAUGGGAUUCUCUGGUCCUGAAGCUAGAUAAUACUCCCAAUGUGUCACGUUUAAUGUGGCCACAUAGGUGGAGGGUAGCAGCCACUCCUGGAAAUUUCCAGCCUGUGAAUCGGCCAGUUGUGUAAAGAGAUUUGCGCUCCUGUUCAUUCACUCAUUGGACAGGAUCUGUGUGCCCCGCCCCCAGGGCUGCACAUCUGGAACUGUGAUGAUGACCUCAUACUGUUCUUUUCUGGGUCAGAAGAACUGCUUAUUGGUUUUGACUAUGUGGCCUUUUCUUUAUAUGUAUAAACAAAGGCUUUAAGACGUGUGUGUCAGAAGUGAAAUAUCAAAGCCUUGGUCGUUAUGGAUGUGGUCACUGGAUUUAGAACAAUAACACUAGGGCAUCUGAUGGGAAGUGCGACAUCACUCACUGAGUCCAGGAGUAAGACCUGCGUUUUUACUGCUCUAUGGAACUGAAGAACCACCCAACAUGCAUGCAUCUAACAUGCAUGCAAAGUGAACCAAUGCAGAGUGCAUACAAUCAGCCUGUUUCAUUAAGCUGGUGAGUUCCAGGGUUCCAAAAAGGCAUGACAAUGCUGGGCUACAGGACUGUGGCCCAGAAUGCAGAUAAAGGGCCAGGAAAUAGCCUCAUGUAGGAUACUGAGGACAUAAGAGUCCAUGGCUCAGGGAGGACCAAGUCCUGAAGGUGCAAAAGAUCCAGAAAGAAGUGUAUCUUCCCAGGCCAGGCCACGGCUGAGACCAUUGAUGUGUGUGCGAAAGCUGCAGACCAGCUGGGUUGAAAACUAGGAAAUCAGAAGAUGUGUGACAUGCAUAUAAAGAACUAGAAGAGUGGUGGCUGCUGCCCUGGGUUCUUCAUUAUGCUCCCAGUCCUCCUUGGUGCUUUUACAAACAUGAAUGGAGCAGUGCCCUUGAAGACACCUACAGCUUGGAUAGGAUUACCUCUGAGGAGCUAGCUGUUCUGGGGACCACUGACGACCAGCCUUCCAGCUCACCCAUGGGAAUUCUCAUCUUAGAAUUCUGACUUCUCCUGACCUGUGGUUUCCUUCUCAGGGACAGGCCCAGCAGGUUACCACCGUUCUGUCACCUCAGUCUUACUGCCCUAAGACCUGUAUCCACCCUACAUGUGGCUAAAGGCUGCUGGCCUUAUAUCACUGGCCACAAGGAUACUGUCACAUGCAUCCUGGUGCCAUGAAGAUAGGAGUGGGACAGAUGCCAUGACGUCUCUAGGCUAUUGGAAAUGCUGAGUGAUGUGGGAUCCAGGAUGGACAGACCUCUGGCAGAGACUCAGGACUCAGAGAACAUCUGUCCUAGGGAGCAACUGUAUUAUUUUCAUCUAUGAUGACAUGCUCAAUGCUCUCCAGAGAAUGUGAAGAAAUGAAUACCCUUAUGACCAACAACCCAAAGGAGGACUGAUUCCCCCAGUGUAUCUGAAAUGUAUAUAUCCCUGUAACUUCUGCCACGGUACUAACAGUGAGACUAAUCAAAUUCUUGUGACACUUUUUCUGGGACAGGACUCUGCGGUAUGAACAGAUCUUUGUAGGACUGGUGUGGGCUAUGAGAUGGUGGUCACUGUCCUAAGAGUGGCAGGUGAAGUGACUGAGACUCAGGCUACCCAGGGAAGACUGGCAUGGGCUUGGCUCUAUGGCACCUCUGUAAAUAGCACCUUUCUCAACCACCAACCAUGAAUCAAAGAAUUAUAACCUUAUAGAGCUACACGUACACAGACUCACUGAUGCCAGCAUCUGCCUGACAGAGAACAAGGAGACAGGACAGUGACUGGACACAGUCAUCAGACACAGUCUGAGUGUGAAGAUUUGAGAACACUGGUGAUAUUCUCCUGUAGCUGGUGAGGAUGCUAGGUUCCCUAGAGAGCUAUUGCCUCUUACUGCUCACAAGUGUGCAGUUGUCAUCUGGUCUAGCUCUGAGGUUCUGGACAUGGGAAUGGGACAAUGGCAAGCCAGAGAGGACAAGCUGGCCUGCUGCUGGCAGGGAAGGGCAGGCUGAGGAAACAGUGACGUGUGCAGGGGAGAACCACCACUAGAGAUUGGCUGCCUUAGAGGGGCCAGCAACGUUCCCCUCAGCACAAGGGCAGUAGCCUGACUUUCAGCCUGAUGCCUUGCGUCAGAAUUCAGGCUGCCCAAACAUUACCAGGGUGGAACAUGCAGAUGGCCAGGCCUAGGCCUGGAUCCUACAGGUAACUCAAGUGACUAAAGCCAUGACCAGUGUUACAGUCGGCGUUAUGAGAAGACCUAUAGAUGUUCAUUACUUUUGGUGGCUGUUAGCCUUAAUGGAUAGCUAUCUAGUCAGAUAGGUAGUCUUUCCCCUUGCCAUUUUUCUGGACAAGCAUCUGUCUGGGUCAGCUCAGAGUUGUGGGGCAGCUGUGACAGGGAGCCCAGUCGUGACAGGGAGCCCCAGGAACGGUUUGUCCUGGAGAGUUCAGGGAAUUUCAGCUGGGCCACCACAGGCCCUAGAAGUCAGUCAGAGGUAGGAUGUGGAGAGUACACUCUGUAGCUAGUUCAAGGAAACGGAAAAGCUAAUCCAAGUGUGCAGUGACAGAGUCUCUC